UACGGAGGGUGCGAGCGUUGUCCGGAACCACUGGGCGUAAAGGGCGCGUAGGCGGCUUCUCAAGCGUGUGGUGAAAGUCCGGGGCUCAACCCCGGAUCGGCCGUGCGGACUGGGGAGCUCGAGUUCUGUAGAGGCGGGUGGAAUUCCGGGUGUAGCGGUGGAAUGCGUAGAGAUCCGGAAGAACACCGGUGGCGAAGGCGGCCCGCUGGGCAGAGACUGACGCUGAGGCGCGACAGCGUGGGGAGCAAACAGG
rnacentral:rRNA from 1 species